rnacentral:rRNA from 1 species
UACGUAGGUGGCAAGCGUUGUCCGGAAUUAUUGGGCGUAAAGCGCGCGCAGGCGGUUAUGUAAGUCUGAUGUUAAAGCCCGGGGCUCAACCUCGGUUCGCAUUGGAAACUGCGUAACUUGAGUGCAGAAGAGGAAAGUGGUAUUCCACGUGUAGCGGUGAAAUGCGUAGAUAUGUGGAGGAACACCAGUGGCGAAGGCGACUUUCUGGUCUGUAACUGACGCUGAGGCGCGAAAGCGUGGGGAGCGAACCGG